UACGUAGGGUGCAAGCGUUAAUCGGAAUUACUGGGCGUAAAGCGUGCGCAGGCGGUUUUGUAAGUCUGACGUGAAAUCCCCGGGCUCAACCUGGGAAUUGCGUUGGAGACUGCAAGGCUUGAGUCCGGGAGAGGGGGGUGGAAUUCCCAGUGUAGCGGUGAAAUGCGUAGAUAUUGGGAGGAACACCGGUGGCGAAGGCGGCCCCCUGGACCGGUACUGACGCUGAGGCGCGAAAGCGUGGGUAGCAAACGGG
rnacentral:rRNA from 1 species